UUGGCUGCAGACUGUGUGUUGAAACUCCUCUAGACGGCAUCCUCCUGCAGCAAAUCUUGGUUUUUUGAUGAAUCUGUUGUUUCUUAGAUCAUGGUUAUGGGGUUGAUGCUUUCCAGCAUUGCCAGUUCAGCUAUACCAGCAAUGGUCGCGAGAAGGACCAUGCACUCCGUCAUGAGCACCGACAGUGGCCUUGGCGACGAAACAACGCGAUGUGCUUCAUCAACCAACAACCAGUUGUAUAACUAUAUAAGAGAUAUGGUUUCGGGAUUGGACAAAUGAAGGCCG